rnacentral:rRNA from 1 species
GUAGUCGAAAAUGUUGUCUCUCUUGAGUGGAUCCUGAGUACGACGGAGCACGUGAAAUUCCGUCGGAAUCUGGGAGGACCAUCUCCUAAGGCUAAAUACUCUCUAGUGACCGAUAGUGAACCAGUACCGUGAGGGAAAGGUGAAAAGCACCCCGGAAGGGGAGUGAAAUAGAACCUGAAACCGUGUGCUUACAAGUAGUCAGAGCCCGUUAAUGGGUGAUGGCGUGCCUUUUGUAGAAUGAACCGGCGAGUUACGAUUUGAUGCAAGGUUAAGCAGUAAAUGUGGAGCCGUAGCGAAAGCGAGUCUGAAUAGGGCGUUUAGUAUUUGGUCGUAGACCCGAAACCAGGUGAUCUACCCUUGGUCAGGUUGAAGUUCAGGUAACACUGAAUGGAGGACCGAACCGACUUACGUUGAAAAGUGAGCGGAUGAACUGAGGGUAGCGGAGAAAUUCCAAUCGAACCUGGAGAUAGCUGGUUCUCUCCGAAAUAGCUUUAGGGCUAGCCUCAAGUGAUGAUUAUUGGAGGUAGAGCACUGUUUGGACGAGGGGCCCCUCUCGGGUUACCGAAUUCAGACAAACUCCGAAUGCCAAUUAAUUUAACUUGGGAGUCAGAACAUGGGUGAUAAGGUCCGUGUUCGAAAGGGAAACAGCCCAGACCACCAGCUAAGGUCCCAAAAUAUAUGUUAAGUGGAAAAGGAUGUGGCGUUGCCCAGACAACUAGGAUGUUGGCUUAGAAGCAGCCAUCAUUUAAAGAGUGCGUAAUAGCUCACUAGUCGAGUGACACUGCGCCGAAAAUGUACCGGGGCUAAACAUAUUACCGAAGCUGUGGAUUGUCCUUUGGACAAUGGUAGGAGAGCGUUCUAAGGGCGUUGAAGCAUGAUCGUAAGGACAUGUGGAGCGCUUAGAAGUGAGAAUGCCGGUGUGAGUAGCGAAAGACGGGUGAGAAUCCCGUCCACCGAUUGACUAAGGUUUCCAGAGGAAGGCUCGUCCGCUCUGGGUUAGUCGGGUCCUAAGCUGAGGCCGACAGGCGUAGGCGAUGGAUAACAGGUUGAUAUU